rnacentral:rRNA from 2 species
GGUCAUUGGAAACUGGGGAACUUGAGUGCAGAAGAGGAGAGUGGAAUUCCACGUGUAGCGGUGAAAUGCGUAGAGAUGUGGAGGAACACCAGUGGCGAAGGCGACUCUCUGGUCUGUAACUGACGCUGAGGAGCGAAAGCGUGGGGAGCGAACAGGAUUAGAUACCCUGGUAGUCCACGCCGUAAACGAUGAGUGCUAAGUGUUAGGGGGUUUCCGCCCCUUAGUGCUGCAGCUAACGCAUUAAGCACUCCGCCUGGGGAGUACGGUCGCAAGACUGAAACUCAAAGGAAUUGACGGGGGCCCGCACAAGCGGUGGAGCAUGUGGUUUAAUUCGAAGCAACGCGAAGAACCUUACCAGGUCUUGACAUCCUCUGACAAUCCUAGAGAUAGGACGUCCCCUUCGGGGGCAGAGUGACAGGUGGUGCAUGGUUGUCGUCAGCUCGUGUCGUGAGAUGUUGGGUUAAGUCCCGCAACGAGCGCAACCCUUGAUCUUAGUUGCCAGCAUUCAGUUGGGCACUCUAAGGUGACUGCCGGUGACAAACCGGAGGAAGGUGGGGAUGACGUCAAAUCAUCAUGCCCCUUAUGACCUGGGCUACACACGUGCUACAAUGGACAGAACAAAGGGCAGCGAAACCGCGAGGUUAAGCCAAUCCCACAAAUCUGUUCUCAGUUCGGAUCGCAGUCUGCAACUCGACUGCGUGAAGCUGGGAAUCGCUAGUAAUCGCGGAUCAGCAUGCC